CAGCCGCCACGGGAAUACGUAGGGUGCAAGCGUUAAUCGGAAUUACUGGGCGUAAAGCGUGCGCAGGCGGUUAUAUAAGACAGAUGUGAAAUCCCCGGGCUCAACCUGGGAACUGCAUUUGUGACUGUAUAGCUAGAGUACGGCAGAGGGGGAUGGAAUUCCGCGUGUAGCAGUGAAAUGCGUAGAUAUGCGGAGGAACACCGAUGGCGAAGGCAAUCCCCUGGGCCUGUACUGACGCUCAUGCACGAAAGCGUGGGGAGCAAACAGGAUUAGAUACCCCCGUAGUCCCUGUCUCUUAUAA
rnacentral:rRNA from 1 species